GAUCCACCCCUUCCCAGCCCUCAGUUAAGGGUUGGCAGUGGAGACAAGAGCAUCUUGCUGGAAAUCCCUGUGUCUUCCAAAGAGUGAUUCUCAGGAUGGGCAGCUUGCUGAGAGAGAUGGCUAUUGAGAAGGCACUUGUUUUUGCCAGACUUUGGCAGCUCUGAAUGCUGCAGAAAAGGAUGCUGAGCAGCAGGAGUGACAGGCAGCAGUGUGCUGCUGGGCACAGAUAUGAGAAGCUGAUCUGAUCUGAGCAUCAGUCACUAACGGCUGAGGUCUGGGAGCAGUCAGUGUCAUGCUGUGGUGUUUGGGCAGCACGCAGUGAGGCGGAGGAGAUACCAUCACCUGAUGCUGCACCUGGAGAGACACUGGGCCAUGCCAUGAGAACGUGGUGCUGGCACUGCCUGAUGCUGUAUGUGGUGUCACCCACCAUGCCCUGGAAGAAUGUAGGUCUUAUUCAACUCUUUUUGGCAGAAGAAAGAGGAAGAUGUGUCAGGCUGAAGGUAUGGGCUCUAGUGAACAUCAGCUCCUUCACACUCAGACAGCCGUUACAAAACAUCAGGCCUGUCAUCCAUAUAUUAAUUUUUCUCCAUUCUUCUUGCAUAUGAAGAGUAAAGGUAUUUGUAGCACCAUUCUGCACAUGCAUUUUUAUGAGCUAGCUCCUUCUCCCAGUCAGGUUUAUGUGCAGCUGGGAUUGUACCAGAGGAAAAGAGAGAAGGAGAUGAUCAGGAAGUUCUCCACCAUGUAGGACCCACCAUUAGCACUGACUCCUUCAGGCUUUUAAGUAAGCACAGGCAUGCACUCUGCUGCAUGCAGCAGGAUACGCAGUGUUGGGGGUAAAGAAACUUCCUUUACUGAAGCAACUGUCAUUUGUCUGACCAGGGACAGGAUUAGGGGUUGAUGGAUGGGGUGGACCAGUGGCGAAACUGGGAUAACAAUACUUUGCAUCCAGUCUCUUCAUGCCUUGCUGUUGAUCAGUUGUUCUCUCUUGAUAUUUCUGCUCCUUUCUCCUUGUCUCUCUCCCUCUCCUGCAGCAAGCUGGAUGCAAGAGCAGUUCAGAGGCUAACACAAAGUGAGGCCAUAGCAGUCAGUGCUGGUUUUAGCCAUUUCCAGCCUCAGUCUUCAGAAAGCUUAACCUCUGUUUGUUGCGCUUUCUCAGCCACCUCCCUUGUGCUUGUUGCUGACUUGGCAGUAAGAGAGUUCAACACAAGGAAUUCCUUUCUUUCUAUUUACAACCCAGGAAAAGAGUACUUUAAUGGUCUUUCAAACAGAAGAGAAAAAGAGAGAGUCCAUCUUGGACAGAUAUCAAAUGGAUGCCAGCCUGGUUUAGUCUAAAAAAGAGCAUCACUGAGAUUAAGGUUGAACUGUUUAUGCUGUUCCUUCUGGAAAAGGUGCUCCGGGAUAAGGACUGUGAUGUUCCUGCGACCUGGAGAAUUACAGAGGAAUUUCUCCAUGGCCCAGAAGGCACUGACCUCAUUCCUCCACCCUCCCACACCCAGCAGUUUACAGGUUCAUUGGGAAAGAUUAAGGUAAUGAACUGUUCUCUCUCAUUUCCCCAUCCAUAGGCAGAAAUAAGCAGAAAUCCUCAGGCCAGAGAUAAGACACUGUGUUCAUCAUAACGUGUUCCCAAGGGCUGGAGGUGAAACUAUGUACUGGUGGGCAGGAAGAGGACAUUGCCUAGGUGAGAGGGGCCGGUUCUCCACCUUUGCUAUCUAUUGCAACUAUAAGUCGUGUCCAAGUUCAAACUCAAGGUGGCUGAAAGGACUUAAUUAUUCCAGGCUGUCUGGGGGAUUACUUUCAAAUUCACUACAGUGAUUUAGGAAAAUGGAAAGUGCUCCUUUGGGAAAUGCCUCAGGAAUAUGGCUGUCCACUGGGAGGAAGCACAGACAUGCUUACUGUGUUUUCAGGUUGCUGGCAGAGCCCUGGGCAGCAUGGGAAGAGACAUUAUAGUCAAGCAUGGAUUAGAGCUGUCAACAUGAGGUGCUGCUCUUCAGCUGGAUGCUCGCUGUGGCUCCAGAGAUGGGCACAGCUGCUACAUUGGGCUGUGGUGCAGAGCUGGUUUGCUGACACCAGCCUCCUGAGCUACAGGGGCCACCCAUGCCCAGGUCCCAGCAGGGAUGCUGGGGUGCCCUGUGGUGGCUGCUGUCCCCAGGCAGUGUCCUGCAGCACCCUGGCUAGCUGGGGACGGGGCGAGGGUGAUCACAGGAAGCAUUGUACUACUGAGCUCAUUUCCACCAGGACCAAGGGUUCAUUAGGAGUAAAAAUAACCCUGGAAAAAACAGAGCCAAAACCCUCUCAUUGACUGCCUCAGUUGUUGGGGCUGAAUUUGGCCAGCCAGGGAUUUGCCCCUCCCUGUGCAGCCCUUGCUUCUUCAGUGCCCACAAUUGUAAUGAUACUACCAGGACCAGAGGGACCACCCUUGACACAUCGGAAUGUUUGUAUUGCCCUGCUUAUGUCUGCUUCUUAAGGAACAGCCUUUGCCAUUUCUAAAUCACAGACAUUGUGUCAAUCUUCUGAAAAAGAUGGGAUCUUACACAGAAGAACAAGACAAGGGCUUCUGAACUAAAUCUAGCUCUGCCUUCGUGCUGUUCCUCUUGAGCUCUCUUGGACAUUUCUUGCAGUCUUGCUGUUUGAAUAAGGAACUCUUCCAUCUCAUUUGCAAAUAUGCUUUGUGCAGUAAAUAGAGCUCUAGGAUCAGCUGAUUUUUCAGUUUCGUUGGUGAACAAACAAAAAUCAGAGGAAAACAAGUUAGCUCAGACUAAAGAGAGCGUUUUUCCCAAAGUUGCAUUGCAGAACAGCAACAGCAAAGAGGAUGAACUAGACCCAAAACAGAGACUUAUUUAGCUCAUUUGGAGAGCAUUCAUUCUUCUUUUUCACCAUUUUUCUCAAGAGCAAAACAACAACAAGAAAAACAAUAUCAAGUUUCAAAAUAAAAAAAAUGAUGGUUCUAAAAGAUUGGGCAGAAAGGCUUCUUGCAAAUAUGUCAGAGCAAAAGAACUGCAGCACCUUUAGUAGUGAGCGUGAGGGAAAUCUAGGAGGGGAAAUGAUUCACUCAACACACAGUGCGUGGAUGAUUUCCUUCUCCCAUAAGCUGCGUUCUUCCCAAAAUUUAGCUGCAUUCUUCCCAAAAUUUGUUACCCAUUGAGGCAAGCACCCAGUUUCCCUGUUAAUCUCCUUUGUAGCACUGCUCUGGAACGAGGGAUAAAUUUGUACAAAGGAGAAAGACAUGGGCAUCCAGGGACAAAAAGUGCAGGACAAGGGACAGAAGAACGCCCAGCAGCAAACAGAUUUCCUUCUAAGCCAGAUACUACUGAAUUUUAAGCUGUAGUGAAGGUACUUGGCUCAGGGUUCAGCAGUCAGUGAUAAAUGUGAGGGUUAUUUCUCACUCUGCUUCUGAGUUUCUGAUAAAUGUUCGCAUGCUUCCCCUGGAGGAAUUAAACUGUAAGAAACCCAAAUCUGGCAGAGCUUAGUUCUGCUUGGUUGUACACAGGGAAAAAUGAAGCAGUUGAGCUCAGUCUAUAUCUAGCAACAUAUUUGGUCUUGCAAAAUUAAUGAGGGGCUACAUGUGCUACACGUGUUUUCUUAUGUGAUCCCAUCUCCUGUAGGUGAACCAUAGGCUGGCUGUACAUUGCUACUUCUGCUGGCUGACAUCAAAUUAAAUAUUCACUGAAACACCAACUUUGCAGAGAAAAAGCAGUGUUCUUCACAAGGAGAUAAUAUUUUAAAGCAGAAGUGCCUACUAGACUCCAAGAAGCUUCAUGUCUUGCUGAUACAGGGGCUGCAUGGGAGCAACUUCCUAAAAAGGUGUAGAAGUUGAGAGUUUUCUGCUCCAUGGUGCCACUGUAGAAGCAGAGCGUGUCACUUUAAAGUCCCUGACCAGCAAACAGUCCCUUCCCCACUGUCCCGUUGGGUUUUUGGUGGUUUUCAUGGAAAGAAGCUCCCAAGCAGAGGGUGGCAACCCAUCUUGAGGUUGUCCAGUGCAGAUGGAGGAACCAGCCGUGUAUUUAUGAGAAACAGAGUCAGAAAGGCUCACUCAAAGUCACUGUUGUCCAUCUGGGUAUGGAAAGAUCACGAGUCCUUCUGGAGCAGCAGCUUUGCCAUUGUUCCUGCACUAAUAAUGAUGAGGAAAAGAUCCUUUUGGGAAGGGGAUGAUGCCAGAAACCCUGAGCUGCAGUGUCACCACAGUCAGGUGUGAUGUAGGGCUGUAACAAACCCAGUGCCAGGGCUCAGGCAGGUCUCACGAGCCUCCGUAUUACAUAAUGGGAGAGAAGCUUUAAUUAAUUAUUCUCUGGGCAAUUAACAUUAGCAAAAGCAGAUCAAAGCAAAAGCAGCAGCAUUGCAGAGGACACCUCCUUUGCAACACUGAGAAAUGUUGCAGAGCUGAGAAGCAAAUUGAAGCUGUGUGAAAAGCAGAGAGCAAGUUGCCCCGUCUCUGAUAAGCUGAUUGAAACCACUGCAAAAGCAAAUGGCUUUGGGUUACAGCAGCAGCUUCCCUGCAAGAAGUGUACCACAGCUUGUAGUUCCUUUGGAACACUCUUUAUUAGAACAGCAAUUGGCUGUCACAGUGGAAAAUAUUUCAGCGAGUGCAUGGAAAUCCAGUGUGCAAUGAAAAGUAAAUGCACUCGGUGAAAUAUUUUCCACUGAAAAAAGUGUAAUUUUUGCUAAAUUCAGUGUUGCCAGUCUUCCAAAGGGAAAGAUGCAUCUUUAUGUGUAGGAAGCAUUUACAGAAAUGCUGGAGGAAAAGCUAUUUUCGUUAACAUCUUUCACUUUGAAGAUUGAAAUGACAGUGUGUUCCACAGUAAAAUUUGGCAAGAUCGUGUCUUCCUUUCUUUUCUUUCAUCAACAUUUUACGUAUGAGGGGAUCCCACUCUGUGCCUGGCUCCACCAAAGUCCUGCACAUGACCCCCAGGCAGAUGAGCACAGUCAGGGCAGCAGUGCUCUUUCAGCAUGAUCCCCUGCCUUUGCAGCAGCACCCUCCAGAGCAUGCACAGAUGCAAGCAACAGGGAGAAGGCAAGACCUGAGGAAUGCACUCCAAGCAGCAGCAAGAAUCACCCGGCCUUGGUGAUGCUCUGGAUUUUCAGCUGGGGCUGAUGCUCCCUCUGUCCUUCUGUUAGCAGGGCAGGGCCAGGAACAGCGCAUCUGCUGGGGGGACAGGAGCUCCCUUCUCCUCCCAUAGUGGUGCUCCUGCGUAGGAUGUGACCUUUUGCAGAACAUAUCCGAGCUGGGGAGCUUUAUUAUUCCAUGCCAGCUACAGAGUGGAGGCAGAUUAAGCUGUCCCAGAGACAAAGCUGACAUCUGCAGUCUUCCUGACAAUGCUUUGUCAAGGCAGAGGUGGAUUUAAUAAGGUGGUUAUCGUGGUCUGACAAAUGGCAGUGAAAUCAAAGGGUACAAAUCAUGUUUGAACACAUCUGUAUCAGCCAAGCAAGGCCUCAUGGAUCACCGAGGUGAGGUUGCUUCUCAGUGUGGUGUUCUCCAAAGAGCAAUAGUGGAGUGUGGAGCUGGCAGGGAGGCACUGGACAGCUUGAAGCAGGGACUGUAGGGGUUGUGGCACAUGGAUCUGGACCUGCAGAGGCGCUGGUAAGAAAUCCACACUGCUUGGUGCCUGGUAGGACACACGGACCUGAGGGGGCCAUGGUCAUGCCAAUCCCUGAGCCACAUCCUCAGGGUCUUUUCACACAAUCUUGAGUCAAAAAGAUCCAAUCUUUCCCAUCAGGCCAUUUGCCAGAUGAUCUGGAAAGGCCAUCUGCCCCCCCAUGUGUCCCUUCUGGCCAGGGUGAUGACAGCCCAUCUCAGCAGCCUCCCACAGCUAGGAACUGAGCAUGCCCAUGUUUGCUCUUUGUUUUUGCACUGUGCAGGUUUGU